UACGUAGGGUGCAAGCGUUAAUCGGAAUUACUGGGCGUAAAGCGUGCGCAGGCGGUUUUGUAAGUCUGUCGUGAAAGCCCAAGGCUCAACCUUGGAACUGCCUUUGAUACUGUUUGGCUUGGAGACCGGUAGAGGUAAGUGGAACUGCGAGUGAGAGGUGAAAUUCGUAGAUAUUCGCAAGAACACCAGUGGCGAAGGCGGCCAACUGGACCAUUACUGACGCUGAGGCGCGAAAGCGUGGGUAGCAA
rnacentral:rRNA from 1 species